UAGCCAAAUGAGAUGCUUAUGUACACUAUUCCAAGUAAUUUCAGCAGAGGGAAAGCAAUGGAGUUAUUGAUGCAAUUAGUAAGAAAUGUGAAUGAGUUUUACUGAACUAGCAAACCCCAGGAACGGAAGUCAUGAAAAAUUAGUGAUGAUUCCAAUUGGUUAUUUGUGUAUCUUUACAUUUUCUUACAGACAGUGUAAUUUUGGGUUGUCUCUAGCACUACAGGAUCCUGUAUGCAGAAUAAAUCUGCAUCCCUGCUGACUUAGGAAAAGCCACUAAAAUCUUUAUAUUCUUAUAUGAUUAUUAACUUUAUCCUGAGGGAAGGCAAGUUUCUGAUGAGUCAAAGAUGUUAUCAAGUUGCUCUACCUCAUGAAUCUGUUAUUUCAAAAUACUUCACCAGGUGCCACCUAGUCUCUCUCUACAUCAUUAGAGAAAGAUUAGUUAGGAAGUGGUGGUGGGCUAAAACCACCACACCUCCCUUCCUCCAUUUUUUCUUGGCUCACAUAUUUGGAAAAUAUUUAUAUUCUUCCCUAUUAAUUUUAAUUACAUCUAACUACACUCAACAGAGAGACUAAGAACAGGGAUUACACCAGAUAUACAACUUAUCACAUUAAUAUCCAAGAGGCAAGGAACACUGAUGGCAAGACAUUCAAUGUUAUUUUUUUGUUUUGGCAGACGACUUUGAGGUUGACUUUCAUCAGUCCACCACACCUUUACAUCUCUCUGCCUCCACCUUAAAAAUCAAGCUAAGCAGUCAUUCUGACAAUUUAUGCAAUUAGCAGUUUUAAAUAAAUAAUCCUUUUUAGAGUGAAAGGAAGGAAUUCUAUGGAAACAAGGCAGGAAAUUGUGUUCCCAAAUGAAACAAGCAGGGUGCAGGGAAAUGGUCAGGGUACAGGCUCUCCUCGACUGCUUUGGGCUGAAGAUGCAAGGCUGGAACAUCUGCAGCUGCAAACACCAGGGGCUGCACCCUCACUGGUGCCAAACUGGCACCAAGAGCUUCCAGCAGGGACAUCUCCCAGGGGCUGCUGUGCUCUUGAUUACUUUGUCCUUGUUAAAACAGACAAGAACACAAACUAAAUAAACCAGAGCAACCUAUGUAAGCUGUGACUGAUAUGCAUAAGAAAAUCAGCUAUAGGGCAAGAACCACGGCACCACUGCAGCCAUAGAAUCAAGGACACUUCAAAAUGGUUCAGAAGGGUUAAGAAAAAAAUGAGGCAGCUCUUAACUGCCUUUCACAUCUGGAGGAAAGAACCAUCUGCACCGAGGAAAACAACUUCUCCAAGACUUGCCUGAAACAGCGUGUGAUUCAAUUUCACUGAGCAAGCACAACAAAUUAAGAGAGAAAAUAGGGCCAUAGCUGUGACAAAACAACAGAGUAGCUUCAUCCAGCAGAAGUUAGGGCCAACCACCAAAUUAUUGAUUCUAUUUAGUACACAGCUCCAUGUGGUAAAUCAGGAAUACCACAGCAAAUUCACAAGAGGUUACAAGUAUUUAUUCCAGUCAAGCUUUCUUACAAUCUAUAUUCCAGUAUUUCUUAAGUUGACUGUUCAGAGUACAUACUGCAGUGGCUGACAACUUUUCAUGGAAAACCAAGCAGCAGUAGUAAGGCCUCUUGUGGACUCCAUGGAGCCCAUGGCUCCUCCACUAUUUCAGUUAUGAACAGGCUUGGGAUUUUUGACCUGAAGGAAGAGGGCUUGAUGAUGUUUUAAGCAUCAAUCUGGUUUUAGUGGAAGGGUUUCUAAAAGAGAGAAGUGUUGCUCUGUAAAAGCAGCAAACUCAAAUUAAAGCUACAUUAGGAGUGAGUACGAGAAUUACUGGAAUUAUAUUUUUAUUUGAAGAGAUGCUUGUUCAUGGUGAUUCAUACUGGUUUGGAUUCUUUUCAUUCUGUUGUAUUAGUGCUAAAAGUGUUACUGUAAAUUCUUGUUUGUCGAAGGCAUUUUAUAAAGACUUCUCACGUACAUCAGAUCUUCUGAACAAAACCAUUUCCUCUGAACAGACACAAAGAGACUGAUUUAAGGCUUGCAGGCUCAGGACGACUCCCCUUUGGAGCAGGAGAAACUGGAGCAGCUACCUCACUUCAUUCAUUUGUAAGCACUGAAUUUUUAAGCCUGUAAACAUUCCAAAAUGUAAGUUUUUCCAUGCUGUGUGCUGCAUGGUUUUACUAUUUCUGCUAGUAGUCCUAAUGAGCUCAUAAGUAUUGAUUUCAUCGAAUGCAUUCUGCAGUUUUGUUUCAAAAUGCUCUGCAAAGGAAAGUAAUUGGUGGUACUCCCUUUUUAAAAAGGAGGAUAAAAUGAUGAUGUAGAAAUUUAAAUUCAGUUUUUAAUUUUUUUUUUUACACAGAAAAUUACUUAAUUUCCCUAAUAGUGCUCCUACCGUGUGAAUUAAUUAUUUUUAUCAAUUUAUUCCCAGUGAUUUACUUGACAUUCAGCUAUUGAAAAUUCCUUUUCCAGCUGCAGAUGAGACAUUUCACCCGUGUUCUGUUUUCUUAGUAUUUUGGAAUGCAUGGUGGUUCUUAUGUUCAACAAGAACUACUGGGACUGCUUUACUGUACCUGCCAGCUCUAAUUUCUGCCCUCCUUUACUGACCAAAAUCCACACCACAGCUGUAUCUUAACCUCCCAAACAGUACUAUCACCUCUCCCUGUGCCAAUAAGUAAAAUGCAAGAAAGAGAAGUUGACAAUCUGUCCAUAAAAACCUUCUCAGUGCUGGAAUUUUCCUGGUAUGUCUUACCUGGAUACAGAGGAAGACCCAAGGAUCCACAGGCAUACCUUUAACAGCUGUCCUUUCUGACAGAUGAACAAGUUAAAUGAGUCUUUUACAGACACUCUAGAAAUCCUCUCUUUAACCAUAUCAUAUGACACCAGUGACUGGUGAGAAGACUGAACUGACACAUCUGGAGGCACAGCUCUUAACAACAUGCAGACUUUGGAAAAAGUUCUUGCAGACAAUUGAAAACCAAGAGGGUGCAAAAACUGCCAUCGAGAACCAGGAGCAAAUGUAGAGCCUGCAACACAAACAUCUGACUAAAAAAGUGGCCAGAGUUGACUGGACAGACAGAGGCCCUCCAUUGCACGAGCUAACAAAGGUGCCACAAAUAUAAGCAGAACAUGGGAGGGAAGAAUCCAAGACCUCAUCCUUGAGGAUUGUAUUUAGAAAACUGAGACCACACCAAACCCUU